rnacentral:lncRNA from 1 species
AGAAAGCUGCUCCCAGUUCCGGUUCAUCGACCACUCAGCUUUCCAUUUUCUGAAUGGACCUCCGUGGCUCAAGCAAUCCUCUCACCUCAGCCUCCCAAGGAGUUGGGACCACAGACACACAGACUACAGGUCUGGAAAUCUCUCCAGGCACCCUGCUUUGGCCCUCUAGAAUACAGACAGUUCCUGCUCUAAGAGGCCAUCUGUGAGGCUCAGUCUCCCAACACCUCUGGAUCACACUCUGUUGCCCAAGCUGAGAGCAGUGGUGCAGUCACAGCUCACUGCAGCCUUGACUUCCUAGACUCAAGCAAUUCUCCUGCCUCAGCCUCCCAAUAGCUGGAACCACAGGCAUGUGCCACUACACUCAGCUAAUUUUUGAUUUUU